UACAGACGGUCCAAGCGUUGUUCGGAUUCACUGGGCGUAAAGGGUGCGUAGGUGGCCAGGUAAGUUCGGUGAUGAAAGCUCGGAGCUUAACUCCGAAUGGAGCAUUGAAUACUAUCUGGCUGGAGGGUCGGAGGGGAGACUGGAAGUUCUCGGUGUGAGCAGUGAAAUGCGUAGAUAUCGGGGAAGGAACACCUGUGGCGAAAGCGGCGCGACUGGACCACAACGUGACGCUG
rnacentral:rRNA from 1 species